rnacentral:rRNA from 1 species
UACAGAGGGGGCAAGCGUUGUUCGGAUUUACUGGGCGUAAAGGGCGCGCAGGCGGCUUUGUAAGUUACUUGUGAAAUCUCCGGGCUUAACUCGGAGAGGCCAAGUGAUACUGCAGAGCUAGAGUGCAGAAGGGGCAACUGGAAUUCUUGGUGUAGCGGUGAAAUGCGUAGAUAUCAAGAGGAACACCAGAGGCGAAGGCGGGUUGCUGGGCUGACGCUGACGCUGAAGCGAGAAAGCUAGGGGAGCAAACAGG